GUGAAUCAUCGAAUUUUUGAACGCAAAUUGCACUCCCUGGUAUUCCGGGGAGUAUGCCUGUUUGAGGGUCGUUAGAAGAAAAAUCGAAGCAUCGCUCUUUUUUUUGAGGGUGAUCGCGUCGGAAUUGAGCCGUCUUUCAAAUGUUAAUUCAUGUCAAAGUGGCUUAAAAUCAAUCAAUCGGUUAGAUUUAAAGCUUAUUAAAGAUAAUUUUGGUUUA
rnacentral:misc_RNA from 1 species